rnacentral:lncRNA from 1 species
UUUGGGAGCACUUUAUUUCAUUCUGACCUCACUAAGUUAACAUUUGAUCAAUAUAUGGUAAAAUAUAUAAAUUCUGUAAAUAUUUCUCAUUUUAAAUAUUUUAAGCAGGGGUGGUAUAUUUUAUUAUUACAGAGCAACAUAUUUCAGAUGUGAAAAAUGAUAAUAACGUCUGGUAUGUGUAAGAGAUAUAAAGUAUUUACAGCAUAUGUUACUAAUUGAUUACAGGUAGUAGUUCAUUAAAGGUAGAUUAUGUCUUAUUUAAAAUCACUUAUAUUAUAUAUAUCACUUAUUUAAUAAUUGAUUUGCUCCUCAGCUAAAAUUCAAUUGAAUAGUACAGUUUAAAAUUACUGAAUGUGAUUCAUUUAGAUAAAUAAAUAACAGAGCAUGUAAUUAACUAUUUUUUAAUCGCCUGACAGCAUUAGGCCUAAAAUAUGGCAAAAAUCUGGCAAAAAAUGUAAAAAAAAAACAAACAAACAAACAAAAAAACCCGAAAUUAACUAACUAACUAAAUAAAUAAAUAAUUAAAACGGAUUUCAUAGGUCUUGGCAAGUCUGUUUAUUUAAUUCCUCCCGCCUUGUGUUGCUAAGCAACCGUUUGGUUUAAAAUGUUUAGAUAUGAAUGUUUGAAGCUCAGAUUGGACUGAGAAGUUCAAGGCUGAACACGAGCGACUUGGAUCUGCGUUUUAUACUCAACUUAUUUUACAAAUUUUUACUCAUUUUCACUCAUUUUUACUCAUUCUCACUCAUUUUUACUUAUUCUCACUACAUUUCACUUAUUUUACACAUUCUUACACAUUUUAAAACAUUUCUCACUAAAUUUCUCACUCAUUUACAUUCUCACACAUUUUUACUAUUUAUUUACACAUUUCUCACUAGAUUUUACACAUUUCUCACACAUUACUUCACUCAUUUCUAUCAGGGAUUUCUCGCCAUGUCUUGUCCAGUUUUUUUUUUCAGGGCCGGAGCUGCUGGACUACCUGGCUGGAGGAGCACCACCCCUUUUUCCCCAGACCAACCGGUCGUGUCGUUUUUCACGUGCCCGGAUCGGCUCCAACAGUGGCCUUUGUGUUCCUCUGCCCAUCCUUUCCCGUGCAUGGACCGGGGGG